rnacentral:rRNA from 1 species
GACGAACGCUGUCGGCGUGCUUAACACAUGCAAGUCGAAUGGUAAGGCCCUUCGGGGUACACGAGUGGCGAACGGGUGAGUAACACGUGGGUGAUCUGCUCUGCACUUCGGGAUACGCCUGGGAAACUGGGUCUAAUACCGGAUAGGACUCCUGGCUUCAUGGUGGGGGGUGGAAAGCUUUUGCGGUGUGGGAUGGGCCCGCGGCCUAUAGGCUUGUUGGUGGGGUAAUGGCCUACCAAGGCGACGACGGGUAGCCGGUCUGAGAGGGUGACCGGGCGCACUGGGACUGCGAUACGACCCUCUACCUUAGGGGAGGCAGAAGUGGACAAUAUUGCGCAAUGGGCGAUACCCUAAUGGUGCAACGUCCGGUCAGGGAUGACGACCUUCGGGUUGUAAACCUCUGUUAGUAGCGAAGCAGCGCAAGUGACGGUACUUGCAGAAAAAGAUCCGCCUACCUACGUGCCAGCCGUCGCAGUAA